rnacentral:tRNA from 1 species
AGGGUUGUAGUUAAUCAUAACAUUUGGGUUGCAUUCAAAAAGUAUUGGAAUAUACCAAUCAACCUUA